GAUGAACGCUGGCGGCGUGCCUAAUACAUGCAAGUCGAGCGAAGCGGGGACGGGUGAGUAACACGUGGAUAACCUCCUAUAAGACUGGGAUAACUUCGGGAAACCGGAGCUAAACCGGAUACUUAUAGAUGGAUCCGCGCUGCAUUAGCUAGUUGGUAAGGUAACGGCUUACCAAGGCAACGAUGCAUAGCCGACCUGAGAGGGUGUCCGGCCCAACGGGACCGGGGACAGGUUCAGAACUCCUAGGGAGGGAGGAGGAAGGGAAUUUUCCGCAAUGGGCAAAAGCCUGACGGGUAAACGCGGCGGGGGGGAGGAGGGUUUUCGAAUGGAAAACUCUGUUAUUAGGGAAGCGGUACCUAAUCAGAAAGCCACGGCUAACUACGUGCCAGCAGCCGCGGUAAUUC
rnacentral:rRNA from 1 species